UAGGGAAAGUUUUUCGGUGUAGGAUGAGACUAUAUAGUAUCAGCUAGUUGGUAAGGUAAUGGCUUACCAAGGCUAUGACGCUUAACUGGUCUGAGAGGAUGAUCAGUCACACUGGAACUGAGACACGGUCCAGACUCCUACGGGAGGCAGCAGUAGGGAAUAUUGCGCAAUGGGGGAAACCCUGACGCAGCAACGCCGCGUGGAGGAUGACACUUUUCGGAGCGUAAACUCCUUUUCUUAGGGAAGAAUUCUGACGGUACCUAAGGAAUAAGCACCGGCUAACUCCGUGCCAGCAGCCGCGGUAAUACGGAGGGUGCAAGCGUUACUCGGAAUCACUGGGCGUAAAGGGCGCGUAGGCGGAUUAUCAAGUCUCUUGUGAAAUCUAAUGGCUUAACCAUUAAACUGCUUGGGAAACUGAUAGUCUGGAGUGAGGGAGAGGCAGAUGGAAUUGGUGGUGUAGGGGUAAAAUCCGUAGAUAUCACCAAGAAUACCCAUUGCGAAGGCGAUCUGCUGGAACUCAACUGACGCUAAGGCGCGAAAGCGUGGGGAGCAAACAGGAUUAGAUACCCUGGUAGUCCACGCCCUAAACGAUGUACACUAGUUGUUGGGGUGCUAGUCAUCUCAGUAAUGCAGCUAACGCAUUAAGUGUACCGCCUGGGGAGUACGGUCGCAAGAUUAAAACUCAAAGGAAUAGACGGGGACCCGCACAAGCGGUGGAGCAUGUGGUUUAAUUCGAAGAUACGCGAAGAACCUUACCUGGGCUUGAUAUCCUAAGAACCUCUUAGAGAUAAGAGGGUGCUAGCUUGCUAGAACUUAGAGACAGGUGCUGCACGGCUGUCGUCAGCUCGUGUCGUGAGAUGUUGGGUUAAGUCCCGCAACGAGCGCAACCCACGUAUUUAGUUGCUAACGGUUCGGCCGAGCACUCUAAAUAGACUGCCUUCGUAAGGAGGAGGAAGGUGUGGACGACGUCAAGUCAUCAUGGCCCUUAUGCCCAGGGCGACACACGUGCUACAAUGGCAUAUACAAUGAGACGCAAUACCGCGAGGUGGAGCAAAUCUAUAAAAUAUGUCCCAGUUCGGAUUGUUCUCUGCAACUCGAGAGCAUGAAGCCGGAAUCGCUAGUAAUCGUAGAUCAGCCAUGCUACGGUGAAUACGUUCCCGGGUCUUGUACUCACCGCCCGUCACACCAUGGGAGUUGAUUUCACUCGAAGCCGGAAUACUAAACUAGUUACCGUCCACAGUGGAAUCAGCGACUGGGGUGAAGUCGUAACAAGGUAACCGUAGGAGAACCUGCGGUUGGAUCACCUCCUUUCUA
rnacentral:rRNA from 1 species